UCCCAGGUUUCCACGGGGCACUGUGGUUGGAUACGCAGCAAAAAGGAGGAUCUGCAGCACGAGAGACUGAAGUUAGAUCACAGGGGAUCUUCUCAACCCAGGGAUCGAACCUGCAGCUCCUGCAUUAGCAGGCGGAUGCUUUACCACUGAGCCAUCCGGGAAGCCCAACCCCAUGUUAGCGAUGAAGAAACUGAGGCUCAAAGAAUACCUUACAUGUCCUCAGAACUGUGUCCAAACCAGGUCCCCUGGCCCCAGAGAUGUUCAGUUCCCAGGAUACUGUGUUUAAUUCCUAUAGGACCAAAAGUGCAACCUGCAAAAUAUCUCAACACUGAGCACAGAAGCAGAGAAGACCCAGCUAUCUUCUGUCCAGCCAGACAUUAAAGUAAUCUGUAAAACACUGCCCCUCUUCUUACUAAAUGUUCUCUUUCUUUCAAGUACAGUUGGUUUGUUUGUUGGUUGAUUUUUUUUUU